rnacentral:rRNA from 1 species
GAUGAACGCUGGCGGCGUGCCUAAUACAUGCAAGUCGAACGAAGCGGGCACGGGUGAGUAUCACGUGGAAAAACUCCUAUAAGACUGGGGUAACUUAGGGAAACCGGAGCUAAACCGGAUACUUAGAGAUGGAUCCGCGCUGCAUUAGCUAGUUGGUAAGGUAACGGCUUACAAAGGCAACGAUGCAGAGCAGACCUGAGAGGGUGAUCAGCCACACUGGAACUGAUGCACCGGCCAGACUCCCACGGGAGGUACCAGUAGGAGAUCUUCCGCAAUGGGCGAAAGCCUGACGGAGCAACGCCGCGUGAGUCACGAAGGUCUUCAGAUCGUACAGCUCUGUUACUAGGUACGCGGUACCUGGUCAGAAAGCCCCGGCUAACUACGUGCCAGCAGCCGCGGUAAUUC